UCGCAGCUCGCGAGAUGUUACAUGAAAGA
rnacentral:sRNA from 1 species